UUCGCAAUGCCCGAAAGGGUGACGAAGCGACGCCGCGUGCGGGAGGAAGGCCUUCGGGUUGUAAACCGCUGUCGGGAGUUAAGAAAUGCAAGGAUGUUAAUAGCGUUCUUGCUUGACUAAGGCUCCGGAGGAAGCCACGGCUAACUCUGUGCCAGCAGCCGCGGUAAUACAGAGGCGGCAAGCGUUGCUCGGAAUUAUUGGGCGUAAAGAGCACGUAGGCGGCUGUGUAAGUCGGUUGUGAAAGCCUUCCGCUCAACGGAAGAACGGCAUCCGAUACUGCAUGGCUUGAGUGUGGGAGGGGAGAGUGGAACUUCUGGUGGAGCGGUGAAAUGCGUAGAUAUCAGAAGGAACACCGGCGGCGAAGGCGACUCUCUGGUCCAUAACUGACGCUGAGUGUGCGAAAGCUAGGGGAGCAAACGGGAUUAGAUACCCCGGUAGUCCUAGCCGUAAACGAUGGGCACUAAGUAGAGGGGUUUU
rnacentral:rRNA from 1 species